rnacentral:rRNA from 1 species
GACGAACGCUGGCGGCGUGCCUAAUACAUGCAAGUAGAACGCUGAAGGAGGAGCUUGCUUCUCUGGAUGAGUUGCGAACGGGUGAGUAACGCGUAGGUAACCUGCCUGGUAGCGGGGGAUAACUAUUGGAAACGAUAGCUAAUACCGCAUAAGAGUAGAUGUCGCAUGACAUUUGCUUAAAAGGUGCAAUUGCAUCACUACCAGAUGGACCUGCGUUGUAUUAGCUAGUUGGUGAGGUAACGGCUCACCAAGGCAACGAUACAUAGCCGACCUGAGAGGGGGAGCGGCAAAACUGGGACGGGGACACGGCCCAGACCCCUAGGGGAGGCAGAAGUAGGGGAUCCUUGGGAAAGGACGGAAGUCGGACCGAGCAACGCCGCGGGAGUGAAGAAGGGUGUCGGAUCGUAAAGCUCUGUUGUAAGAGAAGAACGAGUGUGAGAGUGGAAAGUGCACACUGUGACGGUAUCUGACCAGAAAGGGACGGCUAACUACGUG